AAAUAAACGAGAACCAGUUUAUAUAUAAACAUCUGACAUGCAAAGUGCAGAUAAACCUAUAUUGGAGAGUCUGAACUUGUUCUACCAUGAAUCUGAAGGAUCUGAACGAGAGGGUUCCCCUACACAGUGUUCAGGAGAUGUCCUGUGUUUGUUUUGUCAAGAGCAAUUCAAUGCUACUGAUCAAAAAGAGGACUUGUUGAGGCAUUUGGCAGUAAACCAUAAGUUCGUGAUAGGAGAUGUUAAUCUUAUAACAGACUUAAAAAAGUACCUCACCUACUGGAGGCAGAGAUUUUUGGAGGAGGAUCUAACAAAUUUUUGUUCAAUCAUAUCUACAAAGACUAGUGAUAGGGAUAAAGAAUCCAAAGAACAGUACUACCUGCUGUGUGAUGUCCUUGCAGAAGACAAAACACUUAGAGAAUUUCUGCAGAAAAAGAAAUUAGAGAAAGUUCUGGCUCAGCAACAGAAAGAGAGAAAAGAUGAAACCUUCAGUCGAACAUGUCUCUUCUGUCGGGAUCAUUUCUCAGGAAACAGAGCAGAGAUGUUUGAUCACAUGACCCACGGCCAUGGAUUUAGCAUUGGACUUCCAGACAAUUUAGUUUACACAGAUGAAUUUCUUGAUAAUUUACAAGGGAAAUUAGACAAGUAAGUUUAAUAAUACCACUUGAAUUUUGUCAUUAUCAAUUUGAAUUGUGUGUAUCUACCGUAUUUGAAUUAUGGUGUGUGUUAUUCUCCAGUUUACAAUGUUUAUACUGUGAACGGAUAUUUAAAGACAAGACAGUAUUAAAGGAACACAUGAGGAAAAAACAGCACAAGAAGAUCAACCCCAAAAACAGGAAAUAUGACAAGUUCUACGUCAUCAAUUAUCUAGAAAUGGGUAGAAGCUGGGAGAUGAUUCAGGCAGAUCCAGAUGAUGAGCCAGGCACAGAGACCGAGACCGAGGACGAGGAGAGCUGGGAGGACUGGGAGGAGGCGGGGUCCCAGGCCGUGUGUUUGUUCUGUGACUUCUCCUCCUGCAUGCCCCACAAACUCACCGCCCACAUGCAGGAACUACAUGACUUUGAUCUGAAGGAUGUGAAACUGAGACUCAACCUCAAUUUCUACCAGCAGAUAAAAUUAAUUAACUUCAUGAGAAGACAGAUAUAUCUGGGGAGCUGCUAUGGCUGUGGGGAGAAGUUCACAGACAAAAGAGUGUUGGUGGAACACAUGCAUAGCCAGCAGCAUGUGGACAGGUUUCCUGAGCCCUCUGUUUGGGACCAACCACAGUAUUUCUUCCCUACCUAUGAGAAUGACAACUUACUCUGUCAGCUGGAUGAUGAUGAAGAAGAUGAAGUAGCAGGUGGAAGAAAUCAGGUCAUUGCGGAAGAUCUUCCCUCCCUCAAUACUAUACUGGCUCAGGAAAGUGUCAGAAAAGACAUUCUAUCAGGAGAUAUUACUUGAAAGUUGAUGCAAGGAAUAUAGAUCAAUAAAUUGAUUUUGUUUU
rnacentral:misc_RNA from 1 species